rnacentral:rRNA from 1 species
UUGACCUCAAAUCAGGUAGGACUACCCGCUGAACUUAAGCAUAUCAAUAAGCGGAGGAAAAGAAACUAACAAGGAUUCCCCUAGUAACUGCGAGUGAACCGGGAAAAGCUCAAAUUUUGAAUCUGGCGGUCUUCAGGCCGUCCGAGUUGUAAUCUAGAGAAGCGUCUUCCGCGCUGGACCGUGUAUAAGUUUCCUGGAAUGGAACGUCGCAGAGGGUGAGAAUCCCGUC